GACGAACCGUGCGAACGUUGUUCGGAUUCACUGGGCUUAAAGGGCGCGUAGGCGGGUUCUCAAGUCCGGGGUGAAAUCCUCUCGCUCAACGAGAGAACUGCCCCGGAUACUGGGAACCUCGAGGGAGGUAGGGGCAUGUGGAACUUCCGGUGGAGCGGUGAAAUGCGUAGAUAUCGGAAGGAACGCCGGUGGCGAAAGCGACGUGCUGGACCUUUUCUGACGCUGAGGCGCGAAAGCCAGGGGAGCAAACGGG
rnacentral:rRNA from 1 species